GGCGGAAUGCUUUACACAUGCAAGUCGAGCGGCAGCGCGGGGCAACCUGGCGGCGAGCGGCGAACGGGUGAGUAACAUAUCGGAACGUAUCCUUGAGUGGGGGAUAGCCCGGCGAAAGCCGGAUUAAUACCGCAUACGCUCGGAAGAGGAAAGUGGGGGACCGACCACUGAACGCAUUGGCGUAGGGCGCCGAUGCGCUUCAGUGCGUUGAGUGGUCGGCCUCACGCCCAAGGAGCGGCCGAUAUCUGAUUAGCUAGUUGGGGGGGUAAAGGCCCACCAAGGCGAUGAUCAGUAGCUGGUCUGAGAGGACGACCAGCCACACUGGGACUGAGACACGGCCCAGACUCCUACGGGAGGCAGCAGUGGGGAAUUUUGGACAAUGGGGGAAACCCUGAUCCAGCCAUUCCGCGUGAGUGAAGAAGGCCUUCGGGUUGUAAAGCUCUUUCGGCCGGAACGAAACGGUCACGGUGAAUACCCGUGACUACUGACGGUACCGGAGUAAGAAGCACCGGCUAACUACGUGCCAGCAGCCGCGGUAAUACGUAGGGUGCGAGCGUUAAUCGGAAUUACUGGGCGUAAAGCGUGCGCAGGUGGUUUUGCAAGUCAGGUGUGAAAUCCUCGGGCUUAACCUGAGAAUGGCGCUUGAAACUACAAGGCUAGGGUGUGUCAGAG
rnacentral:rRNA from 1 species